UCCUACGGGAGGCAGCAGUAGGGAAUCUUCCGCAAUGGACGAAAGUCUGACGGAGCAACGCCGCGUGAGUGAUGAAGACUUUCGGGUCGUAAAACUCUGUUGUUAGGGAAGAACAAGUGCUAGUUGAAUAAGCUGGCACCUUGACGGUACCUAACCAGAAAGCCACGGCUAACUACGUGCCAGCAGCCGCGGUAAUACGUAGGUGGCAAGCGUUAUCCGGAAUUAUUGGGCGUAAAGCGCGCGCAGGUGGUUUCUUAAGUCUGAUGUGAAAGCCCACGGCUCAACCGUGGAGGGUCAUUGGAAACUGGGAGACUUGAGUGCAGAAGAGGAAAGUGGAAUUCCAUGUGUAGCGGUGAAAUGCGUAGAGAUAUGGAGGAACACCAGUGGCGAAGGCGACUUUCUGGUCUGUAACUGACACUGAGGCGCGAAAGCGUGGGGAGCAAACAGGAUUAGAUACCCUGGUAGUCCACGCCGUAAACGAUGAGUGCUAAGUGUUAGAGGGUUUCCGCCCUUUAGUGCUGAAGUUAACGCAUUAAGCACUCCGCCUGGGGAGUACGGCCGCAAGGCUGAAACUCAAAGG
rnacentral:rRNA from 1 species